rnacentral:rRNA from 1 species
UACGAAGGGGGCUAGCGUUGUUCGGAAUUACUGGGCGUAAAGCGCACGUAGGCGGAUUGUUAAGUUAGGGGUGAAAUCCCAGGGCUCAACCCUGGAACUGCCUUUAAUACUGGCGAUCUAGAGUCCGAGAGAGGUGAGUGGAAUUCCGAGUGUAGAGGUGAAAUUCGUAGAUAUUCGGAGGAACACCAGUGGCGAAGGCGGCUCACUGGCUCGGUACUGACGCUGAGGUGCGAAAGCGUGGGGAGCAAACAGGAUUAGAAACCCGUGUAGUCC